CUUUCACCGUCAUCCAUGAGAAGACACAGUGUUCCAUCCAGAGGAUGUAGCAUCAAGGCGUCAUCUUAAAAGCAGAGAAAAGACUCUUACUUGACACCAGAUGCCAGUGCAUUGAUCUUGGACUUCCCAGCCUCUAGAACUGUAAACAGCCCUGGGACAAAGAACAGACUACGGGUAUUGCCUUCUUAAUCAACAAUAAAGUAUUAGUUGGCUUCCAGGCAGACACCACUGACUUUCAAGAGAAAGGCACGGGAGUAAGGAAGUAAAGAAUUCAGGGCAAACGUCGAGCUUUCCUCUGGGCUCCAAUGUAAAAGAAGUGGAUAGCGGCUGACUAGUGUACAUAUUAUGUAUGCAGACUUUGAAGGAAUCCCCCUUGUUUUUAGCUGUUCUUCCAUUGCUCCUGGAGACUCUGAGCUCAGAGAUUUUCUAGGCUCUGAUGGGCAGAGUGGCUCGUUUCCUCCCUGAAGUUUCCUUCAUGCCACAUUCUGGAUUACAACCUCCUCCAAAGAGUGUCAUCUGUCAAUAUAAUGUCAUCUCUUGAUUUCUCUGUUUUCUUUUCUUCACUAUAAUAGGUGCUGCUUGAAAAUACAACAAACUGUCUUCAGAAUACUUUUAUGUGUUGUUGAAAGAAAGCACUGCAGCUAAUAUAGCUACAAAGGAGAAACAGUUAUUCUUAAAUGUCAUCUAUUUGCUGGACCUGAACAGGAAUUCACUAUGGAGCUCAUACAACUACCACCUUCAGCUAUUAAUCAAGGAGUCAUUCAACUGAGAAAGGGGAGAUUGAGAUGUUGAAUCAUUUCUCAUUCUGUGAAGUCUACCAGAAUAACCCAUAAAGCAAAUAUCAACCUAUUUCAAUUAGAAAAAUGAAAAAUACUGAUACAGCAGACGAAUUCUGGAACUAACACUUCCACAAAUCAUUGAUAAUCCAUUUUCCAACUUCUUCAAAUUCCAGACCAUCAACAAGCUAUUCAAAACAAUAAAUGUUAAUAGUUUUGGUGGAGUUAAGCAGCAGAAGUUAAAAGCAUUGUGGAAGACAGUAUGGUGAUUCCUCAAGGAUCUAGAAGCGGAAAUACCAUUUGACCCAGCAAUCCCAUUAUUGGAAACUGAUGUUUAUUUUCCAUCAACCAUUUUUCCAUGCUGCUUAAGAGCCUAUGCAAGAACAGCUUAAGACCAGUCAGUGGUUGCUCCUACCCAUUCAGUGGCCUGAGCAGUGGGAGCUGCAGACCAGUCUUCCGUGGCAGGCUGAGCGCUCCAGUCUUCAGUAGGGAAUUGCUGAAUAGGCACAGAGGGCACCUGUACACCUUCAGACCAGUCUGCAACCUCAGGCUGAGUAGCAGUGAACUCAGGAGCUGGAGCAGUCCAUUCACCCUGAAAUUCCUCCUUGGUCACUGCCUUCUCAGCAGCAGCCUGCUCUUCUUUUUCAAUCUCUUCAGGAUCUCUGUCGAAGUACAGAUCAGGCAUGACCUCCCAUGGGUGUUCACGGGAAAUGGUGCCACACAUGCGCAGAACUUCCCGAGCCAGCAUCCACCACAUCAAACCCAC
rnacentral:lncRNA from 1 species